rnacentral:lncRNA from 1 species
CAGUUUAGGGUUUAAAACCCUAAUGCUGGCUGGAAGAAAAAGUUCAGUUGAGGAUUUAAAACCCUAAUGCUGACUAAAUGGAAAAUUCAGUUUAGGGUUUAAAACCCUAAUGCUGAUUGCAUGGAAAAGCUCAGUUUAGAGUUUAAAACUCUAAUGCUGGCUGAAAGGAAAAAGUUUAGUUUAGGGUUUAAAACCCUAAUGCUGACUGCAUGGAAAAGCUCAGUUUAGAGUUUAAAACUCUAACGCUGGCUGAAAGGGAAAAGUUCAGUUUAGGGUUUAAAACCCUAAUGCUGACUAAAAGGAAAAUUUAGUUUAGGAUUUAAAACCCUAAUGCUGAUUGCAUGGAAAAGCUCAGUUUAGAGUUUAAAACUCUAAUGCUGGCUGAAAGGAAAAAGUUCAGUUUAGGGUUUAAAACCCUAAUGCUGACUAAAAGGAAAAUUCAGUUUAGGGUUUAAAACCCUAAUGCUGAUUGCAUGGAAAAGCUCAGUUUAGAGUUUAAAACUCUAAUGCUGGCUGAAAGGGAAAAGUUCAGUUUAGGGUUUAAAACCCUAAUGCUGACUAAAAGGAAAAUUCAGUUUAGGGUUUAAAACCCUAAUACUGAUUGCAUGGAAAAGCUCAGUUUAGAGUUUAAAACUCUAAUGCUGGCUGAAAGGAAAAAGUUCAGUUUAGGGUUUAAAACCCUAAUGUUGACUAAAAGGAAAAUUCAGUUUAGGGUUUAAAACCCUAAUGCUGAUUGCAUGGAAAAGCUCAGUUUAGAGUUUAAAACCCUAAUGCUGGCUGGAAGAAAAAGUU